CUGAAUACAGAGACACCUUGAUGCUACUCAGACUGCUUCUGUGUCGUUCUUGCACUUGGUGUCCGUCUCUCUCUCCCCCCAUUUGGUUCUUAGGAGAAGGCCACCUCGAGACCCUUGAAUAACUGGACCUGCUGGACGGGUCAUCUACUAGCAUCAUAAAGUUACUCCUCAGGCUCAGCAGUUCUGAGAGCUCUCCUGGAAGUUCUACAGAAUCAUGGACACAAAAUUUGGGGACUCAUCUGGGAUUCCCAAGCGGAUCUCUGGAAUCUGCAGUCUUGGGAGUCUAAAACUGUUGGGAUUCAGGCCCCAGAUCUAUGGAUGAAGUACACUCACCAUGUUUUCUACCAAUGAGUUGCACCGCAGCUAGUACUGCUACCUUUUCCUUCUCCUGACUCUGCUACCAAGCAGCCCACACAUCCACUCCAUGCCCAAGACUUGCAGGGAUGCUGAUCUUCUGGAAGAAUGCUGUUCUUCUUAGUUUUUCUUCGAAGGGAAAUAUGUUCUUCUAAGUUUAAGUCUCUGAAAAUGUUCUUGAAUAAUCUGCCGAAGAGCAUUGCUGAAGAUUCACAUAAAAGGGUAUGCAGUUUUUGUGAAUAAUCUGGUCCUAAUAUUAUGACACAUCUGUAUUUGUAUGUGAUAUGCUCUGGAAAUAAAGCAAACUUAAAUAAAGUCUUAAUUAUAAAAUCCUA